rnacentral:rRNA from 1 species
AGUGGCGGACGGGUGAGUAACGCGUAGGAAUCUGCCUCAUAGUGGGGGACAACGUGGGGAAACUCACGCUAAUACCGCAUACGCCCUACGGGGGAAAGCGGGGGAUCUUCGGACCUCGCGCUAUGAGAUGAGCCUGCGUUAGAUUAGCUAGUUGGUAGGGUAAAGGCCUACCAAGGCGACGAUCUAUAGCUGGUCUGAGAGGACGAUCAGCCACACUGGGACUGAGACACGGCCCAGACUCCUACGGGAGGCAGCAGUGGGGAAUAUUGGACAAUGGGCGAAAGCCUGAUCCAGCAAUACCGCGUGUGUGAAGAAGGCCUUAGGGUUGUAAAGCACUUUCAAUUGGGAGGAAAACCUACCGGUCAAUACCCGGUAGCUUGACAUUACCUUUAGAAGAAGCACCGGCUAACUCCGUGCCAGCAGCCGCGGUAAUACGGAGGGUGCGAGCGUUAAUCGGAAUUACUGGGCGUAAAGCGUGCGUAGGCGGUUCGUUAAGUCAGAUGUGAAAGCCCUGGGCUCAACCUGGGAACUGCAUUUGAAACUGGCGGACUAGAGUUUAGUAGAGGGGAGUGGAAUUUCAGGUGUAGCGGUGAAAUGCGUAGAUAUCUGAAGGAACACCAGUGGCGAAGGCGACUCCCUGGACUAGAACUGACGCUGAGGUACGAAAGCGUGGGUAGCAAACAGGAUUAGAUACCCUGGUAGUCCACGCCGUAAACGAUGUCGACUAGCCGUUGGUCCUAUUUACAGGAUUAGUGGCGCAGCUAACGCAUUAAGUCGACCGCCUGGGGAGUACGGCCGCAAGGUUAAAACUCAAAUGAAUUGACGGGGGCCCGCACAAGCGGUGGAGCAUGUGGUUUAAUUCGAUGCAACGCGAAGAACCUUACCUACCCUUGACAU